rnacentral:rRNA from 1 species
AGAAUCAACGCUGGCGGCGUGCCUAACACAUGCAAGUCGAACGAGAAAGUGGAGCAAUCCACGAGUAAAGUGGCGCACGGGUGAGUAACACGUGACUAACCUACCCUUGAGUGGGGGAUAACCUAGGGAAACCUGGGCUAAUACCGCAUAAUACCUUCUGGUCAAAGGAGCAAUUCGCUUAAGGAGGGGGUCGCGGCCGAUUAGUUAGUUGGCGGGGUAAUGGCUCACCAAGGCAUUGAUCGGUAGCCGGACUGAGAGGUUGACCGGCCACACUGGAACUGAGACACGGUCCAGACUCCUACGGGAGGCAGCAGUGGGGAAUCUUGCACAAUGGACGAAAGUCUGAUGCAGCAACGCCGCGUGGGGAUGAAGCUUCUCGGAGUGUAAACCCUUUCGACCCGGAAGAAGCCCGCAAGGGUUUGACGGUACGGGUAUAAGAAGCCCCGGCUAACUACGCGCCAGCAGCCGC